rnacentral:rRNA from 1 species
GAAACGACUGCUAAGACUGGAUAGGAGACAAGAAGGCAUCUUCUUGUUUCUAAAAGACCUAGCAAUAGGUAUGCUUAGGGAGGAGCUUGCGUCACAUUAGUUAGUUGGUGGGGUAAAGGCCUACCAAGACUAUGAUGUGUAGCCGGGCUGAGAGGUUGAACGGCCACAUUGGGACUGAGACACGGCCCAAACUCCUACGGGAGGCAGCAGUAGGGAAUUUUCGGCAAUGGAGGAAACUCUGACCGAGCAACGCCGCGUGAACGAUGAAGUAUUUCGGUACGUAAAGUUCUUUUAUUAGGGAAGAAUAAAUAAUGGAAAAAUCAUUCUGACGGUACCUAAUGAAUAAGCCCCGGCUAACUAUGUGCCAGCAGCCGCGGUAAUACACAGGGGGCAAGCGUUAUCCGGAAUUAUUGGGCGUAAAGGGUGCGUAGGCGGUUAAAUAAGUUUAUGGUCUAAGUGCAAUGCUCAACAUUGUGAUGCUAUAAAAACUGUUUAGCUAGAGUAAGAUAGAGGCAAGUGGAAUUCCAUGUGUAGUGGUAAAAUGCGUAAAUAUAUGGAGGAACACCAGUAGCGAAGGCGGCUUGCUGGGUCUUUACUGACGCUGAGGCACGAAAGCGUGGGGAGCAAACAGGAUUAGAUACCCUGGUAGUCCACGCCGUAAACGAUGAGUACUAAACGUUGGGUAAAACCAGUGUUGAAGUUAACACAUUAAGUACUCCGCCUGAGUAGUACGUACGCAAGUAUGAAACUUAAAGGAAUUGACGGGACUCCGCACAAGCGGUGGAUCAUGUUGUUUAAUUCGAAGGUACCCGAAAAACCUCACCAGGUCUUGACAUGCUUCUGCAAAGCUGUAGAAACACAGUGGAGGUUAUCAGUUGCACAGGUGGUGCAUGGUUGUCGUCAGCUCGUGUCGUGAGAUGUUGGGUUAAGUCCCGCAACGAGCGCAACCCUUAUUGUUAGUUACCAGCACGUAAUGGUGGGGACUUUAGCAAGACUGCCAGUGAUGAAUUGGAGGAAGGUGGGGACGACGUCAAAUCAUCAUGCCCCUUAUGACCUGGGCUACAAACGUGAUACAAUGGCUGUUACAAAGGGUAGCUGAAGCGCAAGUUUUUGGCGAAUCUCAAAAAAACAGUCUCAGUUCGGAUUGAAGUCUGCAACUCGACUUCAUGAAGUUGGAAUCGCUAGUAAUCGCGAAUCAGCAUGUCGCGGUGAAUACGUUCACGGGGUUUGUACACACCGCCCGUCA